CAGUGUCUCUCCACCAGAGUCUCAUACUUUUUGGAAUUAUCUCCUCAAUUCUCAUCUGACAUGUACUGUGUCUACAGAGUAGCUGAAAACUGGUGGAGCUGAGAGGCAAGUGAAAAACAAGAUGAGAUCAAAAUAUAUAAGAGCCAAAAAGGAAAUCCAAUGUACAAACCAGCCCUAAGGGAACAACGCACCCAACUUAUAUAUCCAGAAUGAGAUCAAUAGUUAUAGGCUGGAACAUUUGUUGUGCACUGAAAGCCAAAGCAUGCAUGCCAUUCAGCAACAGAGCGAUGGCAAGGAGAAAACCAAAUAUUUCUUUAGGAGAAAUGCGGCAGAAAUCUUUUAAGUUCCCCUGUGCCUGGGCUGCAAAAACUAAAAAAACAAACUUUAACUCACCUUCCACCGUUCCCCCGUUGCUCCGGUAUUGGCAUCCUGUUCCUCUGGCGCUGCUCGGCUCUGUGCUUCUUAGGCUCGAAAAGUCACACUUUGGAGGGUUAACAUACUAAUUGAUCCCGACUGGCGGUUCU